CCCACCACGACCUUCAUAACAAUCUUUUUACAAUUUUGCUUCGAAGAAAUCACUACUUUUUAUGUAUAUAAAGAAUUUUCACACUAAUUUUUUUAUGGUAGAUCACAUUGUAAAAUUUAGGGUAUGCAUCUCUCUCUCAAAAACAAUAGAAACCUAAAAUUAGAUGGUGUCGAAGGCGUCUCCCCUAGCCUCUAGUCAUCGUCUUUGUUUUCUCGCUGCCUUUGUUUCCUCUCUUCUGUCUGAGAUGCAUGGGGCUCUGGUUUCUUCCGACUUCACUUCUCCGGCGACCUGCUCAUGAGGUUUCGUUCAGUUGUGGAGUUCGUCAGUCCUUGGAGUCCCGGCAAGGCGUGUAAGGUUGGUCAGUUCAGGGAGUCGGUUUUUAGGGAUUGAAGAUUGUAAGAUCU
rnacentral:lncRNA from 1 species